rnacentral:rRNA from 1 species
UGCCCAGACUCCUACGGGAGGCAGCAGUGGGGAAUAUUGCACAAUGGGGGAAACCCUGAUGCAGCGACGCCGCGUGAGCGAUGAAGUAUUCCGGUAUGUAAAGCUCUAUCAGCAGGGAAGAAAAUGACGGUACCUGACUAAGAAGCCCCGGCUAACUACGUGCCAGCAGCCGCGGUAAUACGUAGGGGGCAAGCGUUAUCCGGAUUUACUGGGUGUAAAGGGAGCGUAGACGGCGGUGCAAGCCAGAUGUGAAAGCCCGGGGCUCAACCCCGGGACUGCAUUUGGAACUGUGCUGCUAGAGUGUCGGAGAGGCAGGCGGAAUUCCUAGUGUAGCGGUGAAAUGCGUAGAUAUUAGGAGGAGCACCAGUGGCGAAGGCGGCUUACUGGACGGCAACUGACGCUGAGGCUCGAAAGCGUGGGGAGCAAACAGGAUUAGAUACCCUCGUACC